UAUCUCUCCGUACGGGGAAGGAUGAGAAGCUUCGACUAAGGUUCGAUUCGAGCGAAAGCGAGAAAGCGUUGCCGUAGGCAACGACCCGAAG
rnacentral:sRNA from 2 species